UGAUGAUAGUGAUGAUGAUGAUGAUGAUGAUGGUGAUGGUAAUGAUGAUGAUGAUGAUGAUCAUCAUCAUCAUCAUCAUCAUCAUUUAAC
rnacentral:pre_miRNA from 1 species